UAUUUUAGAAUUUAUAAAAAAAAUGUGUUUCUUCAGAAACGCUAAUAACCCUAGUAGUUGAGGCGUAUUUUCAAAUGAAAAAAAGGUAAGAUAUAAAAUUGUUUUUAAAUUGUAUUUGGAAUUAUAGUAUAUUGAUUGUUUUAAAAUACACGUGUAGGUAGAAACCGUGAAUUAAGCAAUCUAGCGGCUAGCAGAGUGAGCUUUCUCUUACUUACUUAUCAUUAAAACUAACAUAAAAGCAGUUACAAAUAGUCGAAUUCGAGGAACAAUAUAUUAUGAACAACGGACAACGAUUUUUUUCGUGAUGAUUGAGGAUAAGAAUAUCACUUGAUAUUAAUUUGCAGACAAGAAAAUCUCAAAACGAAUGCACGAGAACUACACAAUGGUGAUCGAAAUUUAACUAUAUGUGUGACGUUGCGCCUUCCAUAUUUCAAUAUGUGUACGUUACAUACAGGUUAUACAUUAUAUUUCAUACCCUCACAGUGAAACAAUUGAUCACUGAAUGCAGAUCAAACGAAAAAGAAAGAAAAAAACAUACAUACCAACGUGUCUAUACGAGAUAAUCGGACCCGACUGCCAACCAGAAAGCAUCACGUCAUUUCUCAAGACCAUACAAAUAAAGAGAAAAAUUUAAUAAUUAGAUAGUUAUACUUAAGUCAUUAUUAUUGUAACCAAUUGUACCAAAUGUAUAAAAAAUAAAAAAAUGUAGGUAUAAUAUAUGAUGCUUCAAUUUACAAAGCUAAAUGAAUGGCAUAUGCUGCCGAAGCUAUAAUAAACAAUAAAAAAAUAUAUAUAUUUCUUAGUAUUGAACAGUGAAUACCUUACUAUAUAUUUAUAACAUUUAUAGUACCUAUCCUAUAAACGAUUAAAAAUAAAAAACUAAUCACAUAUUUAUAUGUGGAAGUGAAUUGGGACAGGCAUGGAUGUGACUGUUCAACUGUUUUGUUAUUUUAUAACUUAUAAAUAGAUACAAUUAUACUAAAAUACAUCAUAUUAAAUGGUAUGCUAUACCAAAUGGUCUGCAACAUUUGUAUUUUUAACACAUAUAGUUUUAAU